rnacentral:rRNA from 1 species
UACGGAAGGGGCAAGCGUUGUUCGGAAUCAUUGGGCAUAAAGGGCGCGUAGGUGGUUCUGUAUGUCUACCGUGAAAGCGUACGGCUCAACCGUAUUUUGUCGGUAGAAACUGCAGGACUUGAGGCUGGGAGGGGCUGGUGGAAUUCCCUGUGUAGCGGUGAAAUGCGUAGAGAUGGGGGAGAACGCUCGUGGCGAAGGCGGCCAGCUAGACCAGUUCUGACACUGAGGCGCGACAGCGUGGGGAGCAAACAGG